UUUCCUCAUUGAUUGCUCUGUGGUUCUAGCUUCAGAAAUGCUAUCGGCAAGGAACUGUAGUACAAGGAAGACGACAAUGAUCCCAUGAAGGUUUUGGUUCAAAAUUUAAAUAAUUUUGGCAGAAAUUUUCUUCAACUCCCACACCAGACUUCUUCAUCUCCCACGCCAUUUCCAGCGACCACCUCCGACGGCACACCCACCACCAGAGUUCAUGAGAUUCGACACAGAGCUCGCUGAGAAAGACUUUUAACGUGCGAUGGCGAGAAAAGUUUGUUUAUUACACUGGGUCAUCUUCCUAGAAACUAGCUAGAAUGCACAAUUGUGCUUGAGGAUGUCGUGUCCAAAGAAGAGCUUGUUUAGUACUCUUUCCAUGUUCGGUACUGUAUCAUUUCUGGGUAUGUCGACACUUACUUAUUUUAUGCGUUUGUAUUUCCAGGAACAACGGUAAUCGAAGCCCUGGAAGCCCCAACGAUGACCAAAAAAGGCAGCGGAGACCAUACAACUCUACGACGUUUAGUUUAAAGGUGGAGAUUAGCUUAGCAGCCAAAAUCCCAAUGCAGUCGAUUGCCAAUGCACUCCGGGGUCAAGAAUCAGAGAACUCUCAAGAAGCCCCGACGCUCUCUCUCUCUCUCUCUCUCUCUCUCUCUCUCUCUCUCUCUCUCUCUCUCUCUCUCUCUCUCUCUCUCGAUUGGCUGAACAAAAGGUGAGAAACGGUGGGAGACCAGACCCCCUUACCACCCCUAUUUCGUUUCUCACCAUUUUUGGUGAGAUUUCGAGAGAAAGAGAGAAUAUCCCGUUUUUACCCCUCCUCCGCGUCCCCUAACCACCGCCGCCGCACCACCACUUCGUGUCCUUAGCCCACCAUCACCGCUGCAACCCAGUGGAACUAGGGCUGUGAAGGGUUUUUUUUUUUUCCUUUUCCUUGAAGAAGAGGUGGUACGUAUAAAUGGAGAUGGAGGGCUGGAAAUUGGAAUAGAAACGAGGGAAAACAAUCCUCCCCUUUUCUUUUCUCACCUAUAUGUUGUACAUCUAAAUAAGAUGGUGAGAAACACACUCCUUUCUUUUCUUUUCUCACUAAUAAGGAAAACCACACACAUUUUUUUUCUUUUUCUUUUCUCACCUAGGUAGCCAAACGGGCUGUGAGAAUUCUGGAGAUCAUUUUGAGACAAGAGGCAUGCAUGAAAGCAAUAAUUCAUCUUCAUAUCCUUGAUAAUUUUGCACGGCUUUGGAUUUUUUUUUUUUAUCAGCAAAAAAAGUUUCAUUAACUCAUAAACACGAAGUUACAGAGAUAAUAGGAUCUUGGAUACGCCGGUCUGACCAUCCAAGACCCUCUUCUCCAAACCACACGGACACGGCUUUGGAUAUUCAUUUAACUUAAUGUGGCACAUUGCAAGGGCUGCCUCCUUGCUCGCCAGUCAUUUUUUCACAAUGCUCUGAAGAAUUUUGUAGAUGCAGGGGUUUCCACUCUAGUUUCCCGACUACGCAGGGUGGAUUGUCUCUAAACAUAGAUAACAACCAUGAUAAUUCAGUCUGGGCCGGUUGUGGAUUUCCUUAUUGCAAACCAGAAUGUGAAGGACCCCGGCCCCUUCCAAAUUGAUUGGGCGAAGGUAGCAAUAUUUCGCCCACUGUUGUUGUUCCUGUGGUAUUGACUCAUCUUGUUCAUGUAAUGUACGUUUGCUUAAAUAUGUUGAACCUAUGUGGUCGCUUGUUUAUAUUAGGCAAAAAGCACCCUAAAGAAUUUGAGGAUAAGGACCAAUCCCGCCAAUACUGAGUACACAAUAUCUGGAUUGAGCAAAAAGCCGUGCAAUGGCAGAUGUAUGCUUCCUCCAUAUUGAGUCCCUCUUCCUUUAGGCACAAUGAAUAGACCAACAGGGUUUUUCCAAUUAUACUGCACAUUCAAAGCAUGACCAUUGUUUAUUCUCUCUCAGAUGUUUGUAAAUUAUUGGUUAUUGGUCCUAGAUUAAAGUUUCUAGUCAAUUUACCUUUUUUCUUCUGUGUUGAAUCCUUAAAGUUUUCAUUGAAGAAGGGAAAGGAUGAGGAUGUUGAAAUUCAAACUGUUGAAGUAACCGUGUAUGAUUAUUUCGUUAACCACCGCUAUAUAGAGUUGCAUUAUUCUGGUGAUCUACCAUGCAUUAAUGUUAGGAAGCCAAAGCGCCUGACUUACUUCCCUCUCGAGUUAUGCUCGUUAGUAUCCUGGCAACACUAUACGAAAUCACUGUCAAAUUUUCCAAUAUCUUCUGUAGUGGAGAAGUCAAGACAGAAGCCACAAGAAAGGAUGAGGGUUUUGACUGAUGCUCUUAAAGUCAACAAUUACGAUGCAGAGCCGAUGCUGCGUUCUUGUGGCAUUUCAAUCAAUAACAACUUCUCCCAAGUUUUGAAGGCCGUGUGCUCCCAGCCCCAAAGAUACUUUUAAAGUCCAUUAUGCCUUAUCAUUUCUUCAGCUAUCGGUCGUAUUGGUUACCUUCAGGCCUAGUUCAACUUUGUUGAGGAGAAACGGAAGUAGUGUAAAGUCUUUUACUUCAUAAGUUGUCAGAGUUGGCAUCAUAUUUUUUAGUUAAUACUGUCCCACAAGCCCAACAACAAUAUUUCAAUAUCCUUUUCUCCAAUGCACACAAGAAAUACGGAUUCCAUUUUGCCUUCGUUUUAGUUUACUUUCCCGAAAUAACUUUCCUGCACAACAUUCUUGACAUCGGAAUGGAAGGCAAGUGGAAUUACGUUAUACUAUAGACUCUUUCUAAUUAUUACUUGUCUUAUUACAGUAGAAAGCGGGAAAUGGUGAAGACUUCUUUCGGAACAGAAAACACUUCCACUGAUCUCGGUUAUUAUUAACUGUAAUACUGAUAUGGUGAACAGAGUCACGGAUUAUACCUUUGUCUCAGUUGAAAAACCCGGUGCAGGAGCAGAUGCAAAUAGGAUUGCAAAGGAGGUUUCGAGACUACAUGAACAGCUACAAGCUGAGAGAGAUCUACGUGCUGCUUUGGAGGUUGGGUUUGCUCCCUAUAUGAAGACAAGGGCUGAGCUUGAGGAGAUUGCUUUUGCCGAAGCAGAUGUGGCCAGGUUGAAGCAGAAAGUUGCAGAUCUCCACCAUUAACUAAAUCAGCAAUGUCAGCAGCAGUUCAGCUCUCCUUCUGAAUUGCGUGAUCACUAUCGAUAUGUCUAAAACCAUAAAGCUCAACAGAAGUAUUUUCAGCAAGAUUUUGAUACAACCCUUGCUUUUGUUAACAAUGAAAGGAAACACAGAACUGAGGAAAGUUUAUUUGGGGCAGAGUUGAAGAAUAUUACAGGACCAAUGUUAACUUCUGGCAGCAGUAGCAAACAGCUUGCUAAGACGCAAUACAUAGACUCGGCAAGCUUUAGUGAUUCUAAAAGUACGGAGGCAUCCACAACUAUAUCCAUGGAUGAGCUUUAUGCAGUGGAUUCUUUGUCUAUGCCUUCCUCUUCAAGAGUGUCAGAGGUGAUGGAUUAUCCUAGAAACCCUACAGCAGCAUCUUCCACUUUGGUAGAAUAAACUUACUUCUCGACUUCUUCAAGGGACAACGCUCUCAGCUGAUGGAACAACUUCACAACCUUUUAUUGAAGAAAAGGAAAGAUAUAUUUGCAUACGGGCGGUUCUGAAGACACCCAAA